rnacentral:rRNA from 1 species
UAACCUGCCCAAGAGAUCGGGAUAACACCUGGAAACAGAUGCUAAUACCGGAUAACAACAGAUGAUGCCUAUCAACUGUUUAAAAGAUGGUUCUGCUAUCACUCUUGGAUGGACCUGCGGUGCAUUAGCUAGUUGGUAGGGUAACGGCCUACCAAGGCAUGAUGCAUAGCCGAGUUGAGAGACUGAUCGGCCACAUUUGGGACUGAGACACGGCCCAAACUCCUACGGGAGGCAGCAGCG